rnacentral:rRNA from 1 species
UACGAAGGGGACUAGCGUUGUUCGGAAUCACUGGGCGUAAAGCGCACGUAGGCGGAUUUGUAAGUCAGGGGUGAAAUCCCGGGGCUCAACCUCGGGUCUGCCUUUGAUACUGCGAAUCUAGAGUCCGAUAGAGGUGGGUGGAAUUCCUAGUGUAGAGGUGAAAUUCGUAGAUAUUAGGAAGAACACCGGUGGCGAAGGCGGCCCACUGGAUCGGUACUGACGCUGAGGUGCGAAAGCGUGGGGAGCAAACAGG